ensembl:lncRNA
GACACAGGCACUUUGAACUCUGGAGCAACGGAUACUCCUGCAAGCUCCUGCUCCCCCAAACGAGAAUCCAGUCCAGAGGCGCAGUGGUCUGAGACCCGCACUGCCUGUGCUGAGAGCAGAGUCCAGUUCCUGAGAUGAUUAUGCAGCCAUGCCUAUGUCUGACGUGGUCUUGGGGAGAAUUCCAGUCCCUCUCCAGAGACAGCUAUUGACAGAUGCUGAAUAUAGUUCUCUGUGCUAUGUGGUUUGCAAUAUGCAAUAUGAUCCUUUCUCCUGAUGCUGGGCAGAGAGCCACAGCUCCCAGUCAACUAAGGUUUCACUAGGAUUUGAAUGAAACAGCCAUGUUAUUGCCAUUGAAGCCUGGAUUAACUCGGGUUGCUGAGACCAUGUCAAAGUUUAUCUGCUAUCAAGGAUUUGGCAAUGGAGACAUUAAAAGAGUGAGGAACACUUCACCAAUCUCUGCUUUCCAUCUUCUUAUAACGGAAAGCAGGGAUCACAAGUUCAAGUACAAUGGGAUGAUCGAACAGGCCUCAUUGUCUUGAGCAUAAAGGAAGUGGCGAACCAGUAGAACUGUAAUCUAUUAUCUGUUACCACGAGAGCAGUGAUGCAUUGUGACACCCAGAGAAAAAGACCAAGGAGACAGACAUAGGGGAAGACUCAUCUGACAAAUGUCAUGCUAGACACUGCCUUCAUCUUUCCUUCAGAUGACUCACUGUGGGCAACCAGGUCUGGGGGCAGGGGAGAAGGAAAAGAGAGAGAUUUGGCGAAAAGUUUAAAUAGAGUGGGCAAGGGAUAACUAUACUCAUGGUAAGUAACAUCUUGGUUCUGGUUCACAUGCUUGUGAAUCACACACACACACACCCAUGAAUUAACUUAUCCCUACAGACUUUUUUCUGUUUUUCACAUCUUUAUUGAGGUAUGAUUUACGUAUAGUAAAAUGCACCCAUUCUAAGUAUAAAGUUCAAUGAGUUCUGAAAAAUAUAUACAUCUAUAUUAUCAUACCCACAAUUAAGACAUAGAACAUUUCCAUCACCCCAAAAAAGUUCCCUCAUGCCACUUCCUAGUCACCCCUACCAGUCGCAAACACUAAUCUGUUCUCUUUCAUCAUAGAUCCAUUUGCUUGUUUCAGAGUUCUUUAUAAAUGGAGUAGGGUUUCCCCAGUGGCUCAGAGGGUAAAGAAUCCACCUGCCAAGAGAUGCAGGUUCAAUCCCUGGGUUGGGAAGAUCCACUGGAGAAGGAAAUAGCAACCCUCUCCAGGAAUCUUGCCUGGAAAUUCCAUAGACAGAGGAGUCUGGGGGUCACAGUUCAUGGGGUCGCAAAGAGUCAGACGUGACUAAGUGCACAUGCACACACGAUAUACGGAGUAAUUCAGUAGGUAUGUCUUCUUUCACUCACUAAUAUGUUUUUAAAAUUUGUCCAUGACAUUGCAUAUAACAAGGGUAAAAUAAUCUCCUUCCUUUUAAUGUUCAAUAGUAGUCCAUUGAGUUGAGUUGUUCUCAGAUUUUUUUGGCUAUUAUGAAUAAAUCUGCUAUGGGUAUUCUUGUAGGAUAAACAUAUUUAAUUUCUCUUGGGAUGGUUGGGUCAUAUGACAGAUAUUUGUUUAACUUUAUGAGAAUCUGCCAAAAUGUUAUAUAAAGUCAUUGCACCAUUUUACUGGCCCACCAGCAUUGUUUGAAAUUUCUACUUGCUGUAGUUUUUUUUUUUUUUUUUUUACUUUUAGCCAUUCUAAUGGAUUUGCAAUGGUCUCUUAAUGUGGUUUAAAUUUGCAUUUCCCUGUGGACUUAUGUAGUUAUGCACUUUUUGAUGUACUUGGUGGUCAUUUGUAUGUCUUUGUUUAUAAAGUGUCUGUUCAGAUCUUUUUAUUUUCUUUUUUUGUAACUGAAGUAUAGUUGAUUAACAGUGUUAUAUUAGUUACAGGUGUCCCUACAGAUGAUUGAAUGGAGAAGCCCAUACACUAGGUGGGAGAACACAUGGCAAAUUCACAGGACAGCCAAGACCCUCGGACAGUGCGCAUAGUAGCCCUUGGGUAACACGUAUCAAAGGCACGCUUGUUCUGGUCACUGGAAAUUACACGAAUACAAAUUCCACAUAUAUUUUCCUGGGCUCCAAAAUUACUGUAGAUGGUGACGGCAGCCAUGAAAUUAAAAGAGCUCUGAGGCCCUGUAUGAUGUAGCUCCCUCCAGCCUCCAACCCCCCACAUCCUGGGCCACUCUCUCCACUGCCCCCCAACAGCCACAUGGCCUCCUCAUAUGUCAACUCACCCCAGCAACUUCCGCUCCGCCCCAGGCCCGUGCUGCCAUAUCCCGCCCGCCAUCAGCUGCACACAUGGAAUGUUGCUCCAGGACCUUGCUUUCGACAGGUGGAUUCUUUACCAUCUGAGCCACCAGGGAAGUCCAGGGGUGGCCUUAGAUCUUCCUUAUAACUGGACAGGGCACUGCUGCAUCAUCUUUCUCUCCAUGAACCCGGUCCAAAGGUUCCAGCCAUAUCACAUUCCACACUUCCUUGGACUCAAAGUGCCUGUGGAUUCCAUGGACAAUUCUCCCAUGUUCAGUAAACAUUUUCACACCCAACUGUGGCCUUCUUCUCUAUGCCAUCAUUCUGGGUGACAACCUGCUCGUACAAUAUCCAGGUUUCACAAUGUCUUGACUACCUCCUCAUGUUCAAUUACCUUCUUUUCCACUUUAUUUCAGCCACACUGUAUCAUGAAAAAUUUUUUAAUGGUUCGAAUUAAAAGGUAAACACAAAGAAGUCUCACUCCCCCAUAUCUACCACAUCUUGUUCAAAGCACACAACCCUGAUGGUUGACUAUUAGGUUCUGAUAUUUCUUUUUUGUAAGAAUUAUUUAUAUCUAUUCUUUUUGCACCCAUAUUUCUUCACAAAUGCUACCAUAUUAUAUAUACUUCUUAUAAAUUUCUUUCUCCACUUAACAUACAUCCUGGUUCAACAUAUCUUUUUUUUUUUUUUUUUGCUAUAUUUCCUAUGAAUGUUAGUUAUAGUUACCAUUUUUAUUUCUAUAUCUUUCUGCUCUUUUUUAAACUAUUUCUUUUGGUAUUUAAGAAGGCUUUGCUUUUCUUCUAGGCUUAAAAUAAUUCUGAUAUAUUUUGUUUAAAAAAAAAAAAAAAAAACAAGUUUACUUUUCCCUUUCUGUGGUUUCUACUCUUUGGUUUGUCAGUGCUGAUAUAUUUUGACUGCACAUAUUAUCUGUACAAUGAUGAAUUUGUUUUAAUUUCUACUUUUAUUUUUUUGAGGGGUUGGUUUAUUCCUACUUCAUCAGAGCAUAUAAUGCUUAUACACUCUCCCUCUGCCCUUUGUUUUAACUUUGUAUCUACACUAAAGUGUAUUUAAUGUGUACCAUCAGUCCAUGUGCCAGGGUUUCUCCAGUCUUCCUUGGGCUGGAUAGAGCUCACCCUCUAGUUUCAUUUGUGAAUACAGCACUCCUUGAGUUCUCACAUUUUUUAAACUGUUCACUUGAAGGAUAAUUUAUCUAAAUAUAAAAAUCUUUGGCUUGCACUUUCUAUUGUUUCUUUAAAAACACAAUGGAGUAUUACUCAGCCAUUAAAAAGAAUACAUUUGAAUCAGUUCUAAUAAGGUGGAUGAAACUGGAGCCUAUUAUACAGAGUGAAGUAAGCCAGAAAGAAAAACACCAAUACAGUAUACUAACGCAUAUAUAUAUGGAAUUUAGAAAGAUGGUAACGAUAACCCUGUAUGUGAGACAGCAAAAGAGACACAGAUGUAUAGAACAGUCUUUUGGACUCUGUG